AUUGAACGCUGGCGGCAGGCCUAACACAUGCAAGUCGAACGGUAGCACAGAGAGCUUGCUCUCGGGUGACGAGUGGCGGACGGGUGAGUAACGUCUGGGAAACUGCCCGAUGGAGGGGGAUAACUACUGGAAACGGUAGCUAAUACCGCAUAACGUCGCAAGACCAAAGAGGGGGACCUUCGGGCCCCACACCAUCGGAUGUGCCCAGAUGGGAUUAGCUAGUAGGUGGGGUAAUGGCUCACCUAGGCGACGAUCCCUAGUUGGUCUGAGAGGAUGACCAGCCACACUGGAACUGAGACACGGUCCAGACUCCUACGGGAGGCAGCAGUGGGGAAUAUUGCACAAUGGGCGCAAGCCUGAUGCAGCCAUGCCGCGUGUAUGAAGAAGGCCUUCGGGUUGUAAAGUACUUUCAGCGGGGAGGAAGGCGGUGAAGUUAAUAACUUCACCGAUUGACGUUACCCGCAGAAGAAGCACCGGCUAACUCCGUGCCAGCCGCCGCAGUAA
rnacentral:rRNA from 1 species